rnacentral:lncRNA from 1 species
UGUUACUCUGAAGAGAAAGCAUUUGAAGAGAAGUCAAGUUUCCAAUUACAAGAGGAAUUUCACCUGAAACAUAUAAUUAAAUCAGUAAAAAUUAUAAAUAUUUUCCUAGCAAAACCUUAAUUUAUUUGUUGAGCAUAUUAGUGUCCAUUUGAUUUAUUUAUUUUUAAAUAUGCAAGUUUUGUUUAAUUUUAUAGUACUUAUGACAACCCAAAAAUAUUUUAAUUACAAUACUCAAAUUGAUAGUUGAAAUGAUGAUGAAAAUUAGAUGGAAUAAAAUAGUUCACGCUUAAUAUUUUUUUUCAAAUAUAGGAUACAUUAGAGGUGAUUAUGCGUCGGGUUCAGGCCGGCUGACUAAGUCAAAAUUUUAGGCCCGUUUUCCCGAGCCCGAAAUAUGGGCCUAAAAAUUUGUCCAAGCCCAGUCCAAAAGAAAAUUGCUAAGCCGAGCUCGACCCUGCCCUGCCCAUAUUAAAUUUUACAACACCAAAAUAGCAUCAAAAACUUGCAAAAAAUAUAUAUAUUUUAUUAAAAAUAAAAAUAUAUAUUUAAUAUAUAAUUCGGGCUAGACUUAGGCCAAAAAAAUUUUACCCGAAGCCCGGCUCAUUUUAUAAAAUUUCCAAUUUCUGUAGGUAUACUUCCUUCCAAGGAGUUGCUCGACAAUGAUAAAAACUUCAAAUCUUUGCACUUGAAUAAACUAUUUGGAAUUCUACCGGAAAUUUGAUUCCAACUCAAGCCCAACCUUUCUAGUUUUGACAAAUUGCCUAGAGUAGAUGGGAUAACACCAAUGAAGUUGUUAAGGUACAGAGACAAUCUUUGAAGUUUACUAAAGCAACCAAACCAUGAUGGGAUUUCUCCAUUGAAGCUAUUGUUACCAAAGUCCAAAUACUUCAUCCGACGCAAAUUGGUUAACUCAAUGGGUAAAGAGCCAUGGAAACUAUUUUGAUGAAUGUCGAGCCAAGCAAGGAAAGAUAGAUUUCCCAAUUGAGAAGAAAUGGUGCCUGUGAGAUCCAUGCUUGAUAAAUUCAGAGCAGUGACUCUAUGGUGUCUAGAUCCACAUGUGACACCAAUCCAGCUACAAACGGAGGUAGAAGUAGACCAAUUGGUUGUCAAGAAAUUGUAAGGAUCAUGAGUUAUAUGAGAUUUGAGUGCUAGAAAAGCAGAUUGAUCAACGGUGAUGCUAGAAUAUUUUGCAGACAAAAUAACCCCAAAGGUUGCAAAUAGCAGCCCAAACAUAAACGGAGGGAGGAAGACGGUGAUAGUCUCCAAGAGAAAGAGACAAGCAAGGAGGGUGAAGGCAAAGUGGCAAACAAUACAUUAAUUACAUAUUUAUUUUUGCAUAUCUCAUUUUAUUUACUGUCACUAGACACUUUUUAUAUAUAUAAAUUAUUAAAUAUUAAAUUUCAUAUAUAAAAAAAUCCACAUAUUACUUAUUUUAUUAAUACAUAAACAGUAAAUCGUUUAGAUGAUUUCAAGUUAAAAAAAUUAUAUAUUUUAGAUUUUAUAUGGAUUCUUUUUAAGUUCAAUAUUCAAAUUAUUCAGAUUUUCCAUCAUCAAAGUUGAAUAGUUUGUAAUUCAAAUUAUUGCUCUCUUUUUACUUGUACCAAUAUUUCCUAUAUUUUUCUUAUGUUAAAAUAGUCAAAGUAUUAAAGAUAUAAUUAAUUGGAGAGAAGUCAAAAGCUAAUUAAUAAUAUAUAGGGAUUGCAUAAAUGUAACAACAAAAAGAAAAAAAAAAUCAAAGCUACUUCAUGGUUGUAUUUUGUGAGGCUGUGGAAGUUGAAAGAGUAAUAAUUUUAAGCUGUCUAAGGAAAAUAUUAAACUAAAACUUUAGUAGAGUUUAAUUAUAUAUAUUAUAUUUUAAUUUUUUAAUAAAAGUACAUAUUUUAAAUCAAAAAUAUUUUAAUCAAAUCAUCUGUAUUAGUUUUGAAGUUCAGGAUUAUAUAUAUAACAUAUAUAUUGAUUGAGUGUAUAACUUCAACUUCAAAAAGAUAUUUUAAUCAAUCAAUUUUAUUAGUUUUCGAGUUUAGGCUUAUAUAUAAUAUAUAUGUCGAGUUAGAAAUACUACAAAAGGUUGACAUUUUUUAAAAGUAUGAUAAUUUGAAUAGAAGUAACAUAUGCUAAUGUAGAGUAAUUGUUCCAUAUAAUCCUUUUUAUGAUGAAAUGAUUGCUUCAUAACUUCUUACACUUAGACAUAAUAAUGAGGUUUUAAUCUUUUAAGGUAACUUUUAUUUUAUUUACUUAAAAAAUUGCAUAAAUUUAAUAAAAAAAAGAAGAAUAAAAGAAACAUGAAAUUAUACCUGUCAAUUUGUUAUUGCUAAGAUGAAGAAAUUGGAGAGAAGUCAAUUUUUCAAUAACAAGAGGAAUUUCACCUGAAACGUAUAAUUAAAUCGGUCAAAAUUUGCAAAUAUUUUCCUACCAAACCCUUAAUUUAUUUGUUGAGCAUAUUAACGUUUGUUUCAUUUACCUAUUUUUAAAUAUGCAAGUUUAGUUUAGUCUUAUAGUACUUAUGAUAACCCAAAAAUAUUUUAAUUAUAAUACUCAAAUUAACAAUAAAAUUAAAAAAAUAUUUAUCUUUGUGCUAGAAAAAAAACACCGCAUAGAUCAUAAAAAGGAAAAACUAAAACAUCCAAAAGAAUAUGUCAAACACUAAACACAAAAUUCAUAGUUGUAGAGGAGAAUUAGAUACAUUGGUCCCAUAAUAUGUCACUCAAAAUCUCAAAUUCAUCCAACAAAAAGAAAUCAUCACUUUAGUUAAUUAAAUCAAGAACAAAUAAAGUUAUGGAUGAACAAAUAUGGGAAGCAAAGAAAUGUGAUGGAUCAAAAGGGACGGAUAAGCUAAUUUCUGCCAUAAGGUAGAUGGUGAACUUAGGAUGUGGAGUUUCAAUAAAUACCUAAAAAUACCUAAACUUUUGGCAAUUCAAAUAGAUUAUACUAAUUUUUAAUUACUUAAAAAUAUUGCAUAAAUUUAAUAACAAAAAGGAGAAUAAAAGAAACAUGAAAUUAUACCUGUCAAUUUGUUAUUGUCAAGAAAAAGCUCUCGAAGAGAAGUCAAGUUUCCAAUAACAAGAGGAAUUUUACCUGAAACAUAUAAUUAAAUCAAUAAAUAUAUAAUUAUUUUUAUUAAUUAUUUUAAGAGUUUAAUAAGGCAAAUCUAAAAGGUAGAAGAAAUAGCUAAUUAGAAGUAGUGUGUGAUUCAAAAGGGUAUAAAGUAGGUCCAAAUUAAAAAUCAAAUUUUAAAAUAAUUUAAUGUAAAAUUUAACUCUUUUCUUAUCACCAAAUAAAUUUACUUUCAGAGAAAUUACAAGUUUUAAUAAAAUAGUUGAAAUAAGUGACUGUUUAUGACUAGGUGAAAAUUAGAUGAAAAAAACAUAUAAUUAAUAAUUUAUAUAUCUAUUUCUCUCAUACUUGAACUAUGGUCGAGCAAAAAUUAAUAAAAAAAUCAAACGGAUAGAAAUAGCUUAGUUAGAAGUUUGCAUAUCUCAUUUUAUUUACUCUCACUAGACAUUUAAUCUUUUAAGGUAACUUUUAUUUUAUUUACUUAAAAAAUUGCAUAAAUUUAAUUAAAAAAAAGGAGAGUAAAAGAAACAUGGAAUUAUAUUGUCAAUUUGUUAUAGCUAAGAUAAAGUGAUUGGAGAGAAGUUAAGUUUCCAAUAACAAGAGGAAUUUCACUUGAAACGUAUAAUUAAAUCGGUCAAAAUUUGCAAAUAUUUUCCUACCAAGCCCUUAAUUUAUUUGUUGAGCAUAUUAGUGUCUGUUUCAUUUACCUAUUUUUAAAUAUGCAAAUUUAGUUUAGUCUUAUAGUAAUAUGAGUAAUAUUGGGCUCCAACCACAGUACACGGUAAAAAAUGAAAGCCAGAAAAAUGCAAGACUGCAUGUCUACACCAUAUUAUUUUUAUAAAUAAAAGAGUAAUUUCUCUAUAUAAAUAAAUGAGUUGGGUUGGAUUUCAUUUAAUUGAAAAUGAGUUGGAUUGGCUGAUUAUUUGAUUUUGGGUUAAAUGAAAAUCAACUUCUGCCUGGAUGUAGGUAUUGGGUUUAAUGUAACUUAUAUAAAGAGUUUAGUAUGUCGCUUUAUUUGACUUAUUUGGUUUGGACACUCAAAUUUGAAAUUGAUCAAUUAAACCAAUAGAAAUGAGUCUCAACUAAAUAAAGUGAAAACUCAACUAAAUAGAAUUGGAUUAAAGUGAUUCAAUUAAUCAAGUUUUCACAUACUUAUAACCAUCGUGAUUCAUUCAUAUUAUUAUUCUCAUACUAUAUUCAUGUUAAGUUGAUGUAUUUGGAAAGAUCGAAGCUUUUUUCUAUUUUAGGGUGUCUCUUGGAGCACAGGUGAGAUUAUUAAGAUAUUAUAUAUUUUGGAGUGUGAAAUUUAUUGAAUCAUUUAGAAUAAGAAUCAAAUUGAUAGAAUGUGUAAGUAUUAAGAAAUAAACGUGUUAUUAUUCUAGUUGGAAAAGGCAACAUCAUCACUUCCGUUAACUAUUUAACGGAGAGUGACCAAAAUAGAAACAAUCUAAAGUGUGAGUGACCAAAAUAGAAAUAAUAUAAAAUGUAAGUGACUAAAUAAAAAAAAUUCAUAGUUGGGUGACUAAUUCUAUAGUAAUUUACCCUAGAUGGUAGAAGCAAUUAGGAUUAAUUCCACCAAACAUCUCAAACUAUUACUCAUAUUUUAAAUUGAACCCUAAACUUUUACACAUUCUAAUUAAAUUACUCAAAUAGAAUGUGAUAAUGUAUUAUGCUAUUAUUCAUCGAUAGUGCAUAGAAUUUAUGUACUAACAAUGCAUCAAAUAUUCUCAUUAAAAGAAAAUGUAUAAAAUAAGUUUUAUACCAUCUAUAAUUUGUAAAAAAAAAAUUAUCCAAUAAAAAAUAUAAAAAUACAUCUAUAAUUUCACAAAAAGAAUUACAUAUCUAUAAUAUCUUUUUAUAAAUUCAAUUCCAAAUCUCCUGUAAUAAAUCAACCUCACAAAUCUGAUUGAGGUUAAAAAGAAAGAAUGCAUGUAUUGUGCAAUUAAAACCAUGAUCCAUAUUCAGUUCUAAAGUAUUGAACAUAUAAUUUUGCAUUAUUUUACCUCCCUUGAUUCUUCACAAACUCUUGGGGAAUAAAGACAGUCUUUACAAACCAGUGCACCUCUCAUAAACAGAUCAGGGACAAUUGCCAUGAGAGAGGACCUAAGAAAACAUAAUACAAACUACAUAACAUACAAUCAAGCACCCACACAAAAUGUUUAUUAAACAGCUACAGAAAAAGGCCUGCAUACCACCAAGCAAUGAGGUUUUCUGUUCUGUUUGCAACUUGUUGAACUCGCCCAAGUGUUGCCUUCUCUACCUUUUUGCAAAUCUUUGUCGGACUCGCUCCACGAUCCUAAUCAACCACCAUGGUUUUCCAGUCGUGAAUACAAUGUAUGCCAUGCUCAUUCCCAGCACCAACCCACAUCCAUACCCCAUCAAUAUUGAAAAUUUCCAAUUCAAUUCAUCACCAUCAUCAUCUCUAUCAAAUUUGGCUGGAGUUUCCUCAUCAGUACCACAGUUUUUUGAUAAUGGAAAACCACAUAAAUCCGAAUUUCCCAUGUAGGAAUCUUUAGUAAAAGUAUCAAAUUGUUUGCCUUGAGGAAUGGGUCCCUUGAGAUUAUUUUGAGAAAGGUUUAACACCUCUAAGAAUCCAAGAUUUUUUAACUCUGUUGGAAUUCUUCCUUCCAGCUUAUUUGAUGAGAGAUCUAAUGAUUCAAGCUCUGACAAAUUACCUAAAGAUGAUGGGAUAGGACCUAUUAAACAGUUAUGGGAGAGGUUUAGGACAAGAAGUAAAUGAAGCUCACCAAGUAUUUUUGGAAUUUCUCCCCUAAAUUGGUUACUAGAAAGGUCAAUAACCGUCCAAAUGGAUAAUAGUGAUUCAAACUUUAUUUCCAGCCCUUUUGCUGUAACAGAUAAACCAGAAGCAUAAUCCACCCAAAAUACACCAAAUGCAUCUUUCGUGGGCUUUACUUCUCUCAUGUAAUUUGGUUCAACAUUCUUUCCAUACUCAUCUCUAAUGGCAUGCAUAUGCUCAAAAAAAGGAGUAGGUAAGUAGCCACUAAAAUUAUUGUGAUAAAGAUCAAUGAUUCGCAAUUUAGUUAAAGAAACUGUAAUAUCAAAGCUCUCUAUUUGGCCGUAAAAUCUAUUCGACCUCAAGAUAAGAACUUGCAGCUGAUCCAAAUUUCCUAACCAACUUGGGAAAGUGUCAUUCAAAUUGUUGUUUCCAACAUUGAGAAGAUUUAAACCUUUGCAAUUACCCAAGGAUCGUGGUAGUGACCCUUCUAAUUCAUUGUUGUUGAUGCCUAAACUUCUCAACAUGCAACCUUUAGCAAAAUUUUCUGGUAUUUGACCAUGAAAAUUAUUAUUCCCUAGAUCAACUGCUGUGAGAGAAGAACUCAUGUUUCCGAUGCACUUUGGAAUUGUUCCCUCCAAAUUAUUCUCAUCUAAAGCCAUAACCUUAAGGGAAGUCAAAUUGCAUACUGAAGAAGGGAUUUCUCCAAUUAAGUUAUUAGUUGAAACUGCAUACCAUUGCAAUAAAGGUGGUGGUGUUGGAAUUCGACCUUAGAGAUAAAAUUGAAAAUGAGAUAUUAGGAGUUUGAAGAUUCUUUGGAAUAUAAAUUAUAAAAUAACUAUAUUUAUGAUGUAUUACAUGCUUGAUUAAUUUACUACACUACUUCUAACCAUUUUUACAUGCAUCACAACAACCUUUAAGUUGUAAUCUAUUGAAGGAAACUACUACUAUCUUCCAGAGAAACUUAAAAGUAAAAAGGGAUUGCAUAAAUGUAUAAAAAUAGAAGGAAAAAAAAUAUCAAACUAUACUUAAUAGUUUAUUAUAAAAGAGAUAACCAUUUAAUAUCUAACUUAUAUUUCAUUUUUUUAGUGUUUAUUAUUAUUUUUUGUACUUUUAUGUAUAUUUUAUAAUUUAUUAUUGGGGUUCACGGUUGUUAUUGUCAAGAAUAUCUUGAAUCUAUUAUAGAUGUAGAUUAUAAAUUGUAGACAAAUAUUUUGGUUGGGUUAGCAAAGCUAAAAAAGUUGAGAAUAAUAAAUUUUUAAAAUUUUAAAUUUAAGGUGAAAAAUUAAAUCCUAAUUGUUUAAAUAUCUAUAUGUAAUUAGUGAAUAAGAAUUGCGCAGAAUGGCGUAAAAGAAAAAUAAAAUGAAAGAAUUUAAAAUAUAAUUUUUAAGUUUAUAUCACGUGUCCUAUUAUAAUUGAAACUUAUUAUGGAAUUCACUAUUACUGACUUGAAGCUCGAGUAGGUUCAAGUUAUUGACCCACAACCCAAGUAGACUUAAAGGAAUUUGGGUCGGGCCCCACAAAGUGGGCAUAUUGGAGUUCGCACAUCCAAUUCGUAGGUAUGCUAGAGCUCGUAGGCCUAGCUUACAAGACAAGCCCGCACAUUGAGUUCACACGUCUCUAUAUGAUCGCAAGGAGAGGUGCUAAGUCAAGCACGUGGUCCAUGAACAUGUGUUAAGUCUAGAACAAGAUACGUGUUAACAUACAUGAAGCUUGUCUAAGACGUCAUUUCAGUGAGUGUGGUGCAAUAAGUGUGGUCAAACUUUCGAUUGACCAUAGUAGACACAAAGAGAAAAUACUCAACAAUUUGGUGCAGUGAGUGUGGUCAAACUUUCGAUUGACAGAUUUUUAGCUUGUAACAAUCAAAAUAGCUCACCCAAAUUAAAAUUUCCCCAUCAAUGUUUUGUCAGGAUAAGUUGCUAGUAUUAUAUUGUUGCUAGUAUUAUACAAAACAAAAAGUCAAAAAGUGAGAGAAAACCCAGUCAUCAGCACACCAAAACUCGUUAAGUCAAUCAUAGUUGCUAGUAUUAUAUUGUAUCUUCUUACAUCGAGAGAUAAGGUAGGUGAGAAAGGGAGAUAAAAGACGGUGAGCUUGGAUGGGACAUUAAGGGGGAAGAGAGGAAAAAAUGUUAUGUGUCUAAUUAUUUCUAGUGUUUGAACCGUUUUGAGUCAUAUCUAUCUUGGAACUCAUACCGUCCUAAGCCUUAGAACAUUACAAGCUUAGAAGACCAAUGUGUUUCCUAUGCAAUAAUAUCAACUAUGGCUUAGCAACAACUAAAUCAAGACAUAAACAAUAAGGCAAAUCUAAAAGGUAAAAAGGAAUAGCUAAUUAAAAGUAGUGUGUGAUUCAAAAGGUAGACGGUGAACUUAGGAUGUGGAGUUCCAAUAAAUACCUAAACUUUUGGCAAUUCAAAUAGUUUCUUUAUAAAAGUUUGUAAAUAUUUGAGUCUUAUUCGUAUUAAGAAAUACAUAAUUUUAAGCGGUCUAAUAAUGAAAAUAUUAUAUUAAGCUUUAGUAGAGUUUAAUUAUAUAUAUUAUAAGAAUAGUCUUCCGUGUAUUUAUCCAUUUAAUUUAAUUUUUUUAUUUUGGUCCCUUGGAACGGUUGGAACGGUGCGUUUAGGGGGUAUGUGGAUAAUUUCCUAGUUGGUCCCUGUCCAUUUUCACGCAUUUAAUUUUAGUCCUUUAUUCUGUUUUAUUGUUUAAUUUAUUUAUUUUAUUAUGAUUUAUACUUUUAAUUUCACUUAAAUUUUGAUUCAGUCCCUUAUUUAUUUAAUUUCAGCCUUUCAUGAAUUUUAUUUAUUUAUUACUUCUUUAUUUUCAUAUACUUAAAAAUUGGAUUGUUUACAUUCUUUUAUUUGUGCAUUUUUUUGCUCAUUUAUUUUAUUUACUUAAAAAGAUUGCAUAAAUUUAAUAACAAAAAGGAGAAUAAAAGAAAUGAAAUUAUACCUGUCAAUUUGUUACUCUGAAGAGAAAGCAUUUGAAGAGAAGUCAAGUUUCCAAUUACAAGAGGAAUUUCACCUGAAACAUAUAAUUAAAUCAGUAAAAAUUAUAAAUAUUUUCCUAGCAAAACCUUAAUUUAUUUGUUGAGCAUAUUAGUGUCCAUUUGAUUUAUUUAUUUUUAAAUAUGCAAGUUUUGUUUAAUUUUAUAGUACUUAUGACAACCCAAAAAUAUUUUAAUUACAAUACUCAAAUUGAUAGUUGAAAUGAUGAUGAAAAUUAGAUGGAAUAAAAUAGUUCACGCUUAAUAUUUUUUUUCAAAUAUAGGAUACAUUAGAGGUGAUUAUGGGUCGGGUUCGGGUCGGCUGACUAAGUCAAAAUUUUAGGCCCGUUUUCCCGAGCCCGAAAUAUGGGCCUAAAAAUUUGUCCAAGCCCAGCCCAAAAGAAAAUUGCUAAGCCGAGCCCGACCCUGCCUUGCCCAUAUUAAAUUUUACAACACCAAAAUAGCAUCAAAAACUUGCAAAAAAUAUAUAUAUUUUAUUAAAAAUAAAAAUAUAUAUUUAAUAUAUAAUUCGGGCCAGACUUGGGCCAAAAAAGUUUUACCCGAAGCCCGGCUCAUUUUAUAAAAUUUCCAAUUUCUGUAGGUAUACUUCCCUCCAAGGAGUUGCUCGACAAUGAUAAAAACUUCAAAUCUUUGCACUUGAAUAAACUAUUUGGAAUUCUACCGGAAAUUUGAUUCCAACUCAAGCCCAACCUUUCUAGUUUUGACAAAUUGCCUAGAGUAGAUGGGAUAACACCAAUGAAGUUGUUAAGGUACAGAGACAAUCUUUGAAGUUUACUAAAGCAACCAAACCAUGAUGGGAUUUCUCCAUUGAAGCUAUUGUUACCAAAGUCCAAAUACUUCAUCCGACGCAAAUUGGUUAACUCAAUGGGUAAAGAGCCAUGGAAACUAUUUUGAUGAAUGUCGAGCCAAGCAAGGAAAGAUAGAUUUCCCAAUUGAGAAGAAAUGGUGCCUGUGAGAUCCAUGCUUGAUAAAUUCAGAGCAGUGACUCUAUGGUGUCUAGAUCCACAUGUGACACCAAUCCAGCUACAAACGGAGGUAGAAGUAGACCAAUUGGUUGUCAAGAAAUUGUAAGGAUCAUGAGUUAUAUGAGAUUUGAGUGCUAGAAAAGCAGAUUGAUCAACGGUGAUGCUAGAAUAUUUUGCAGACAAAAUAACCCCAAAGGUUGCAAAUAGCAGCCCAAACAUAAACGGAGGGAGGAAGACGGUGAUAGUCUCCAAGAGAAAGAGACAAGCAAGGAGGGUGAAGGCAAAGUGGCAAACAAUACAUUCAUUACAUAUUUAUUUUUGCAUAUCUCAUUUUAUUUACUGUCACUAGACACUUUUUAUAUAUAUAAAUUAUUAAAUAUUAAAUUUCAUAUAUAAAAAAAUCCACAUAUUACUUAUUUUAUUAAUACAUAAACAGUAAAUCGUUUAGAUGAUUUCAAGUUAAAAAAAUUAUAUAUUUUAGAUUUUAUAUGGAUUCUUUUUAAGUUCAAUAUUCAAAUUAUUCAGAUUUUCCAUCAUCAAAGUUGAAUAGUUUGUAAUUCAAAUUAUUGCUCUCUUUUUACUUGUACCAAUAUUUCCUAUAUUUUUCUUAUGUUAAAAUAGUCAAAGUAUUAAAGAUAUAAUUAAUUGGAGAGAAGUCAAAAGCUAAUUAAUAAUAUAUAGGGAUUGCAUAAAUGUAACAACAAAAAGAAAAAAAAAAAUCAAAGCUACUUCAUGGUUGUAUUUUGUGAGGCUGUGGAAGUUGAAAGAGUAAUAAUUUUAAGCUGUCUAAGGAAAAUAUUAAACUAAAACUUUAGUAGAGUUUAAUUAUAUAUAUUAUAUUUUAAUUUUUUAAUAAAAGUACAUAUUUUAAAUCAAAAAUAUUUUAAUCAAAUCAUCUGUAUUAGUUUUGAAGUUCAGGAUUAUAUAUAUAACAUAUAUAUUGAUUGAGUGUAUAACUUCAACUUCAAAAAGAUAUUUUAAUCAAUCAAUUUUAUUAGUUUUCGAGUUUAGGCUUAUAUAUAAUAUAUAUGUCGAGUUAGAAAUACUACAAAAGGUUGACAUUUUUUAAAAGUAUGAUAAUUUGAAUAGAAGUAACAUAUGCUAAUGUAGAGUAAUUGUUCCAUAUAAUCCUUUUUAUGAUGAAAUGAUUGCUUCAUAACUUCUUACACUUAGACAUAAUAAUGAGGUUUUAAUCUUUUAAGGUAACUUUUAUUUUAUUUACUUAAAAAAUUGCAUAAAUUUAAUAAAAAAAAGAAGAAUAAAAGAAACAUGAAAUUAUACCUGUCAAUUUGUUAUUGCUAAGAUGAAGAAAUUGGAGAGAAGUCAAUUUUUCAAUAACAAGAGGAAUUUCACCUGAAACGUAUAAUUAAAUCGGUCAAAAUUUGCAAAUAUUUUCCUACCAAACCCUUAAUUUAUUUGUUGAGCAUAUUAACGUUUGUUUCAUUUACCUAUUUUUAAAUAUGCAAGUUUAGUUUAGUCUUAUAGUACUUAUGAUAACCCAAAAAUAUUUUAAUUAUAAUACUCAAAUUAACAAUAAAAUUAAAAAAAUAUUUAUCUUUGUGCUAGAAAAAAAACACCGCAUAGAUCAUAAAAAGGAAAAACUAAAACAUCCAAAAGAAUAUGUCAAACACUAAACACAAAAUUCAUAGUUGUAGAGGAGAAUUAGAUACAUUGGUCCCAUAAUAUGUCACUCAAAAUCUCAAAUUCAUCCAACAAAAAGAAAUCAUCACUUUAGUUAAUUAAAUCAAGAACAAAUAAAGUUAUGGAUGAACAAAUAUGGGAAGCAAAGAAAUGUGAUGGAUCAAAAGGGACGGAUAAGCUAAUUUCUGCCAUAAGGUAGAUGGUGAACUUAGGAUGUGGAGUUUCAAUAAAUACCUAAAAAUACCUAAACUUUUGGCAAUUCAAAUAGAUUAUACUAAUUUUUAAUUACUUAAAAAUAUUGCAUAAAUUUAAUAACAAAAAGGAGAAUAAAAGAAACAUGAAAUUAUACCUGUCAAUUUGUUAUUGUCAAGAAAAAGCUCUCGAAGAGAAGUCAAGUUUCCAAUAACAAGAGGAAUUUUACCUGAAACAUAUAAUUAAAUCAAUAAAUAUAUAAUUAUUUUUAUUAAUUAUUUUAAGAGUUUAAUAAGGCAAAUCUAAAAGGUAGAAGAAAUAGCUAAUUAGAAGUAGUGUGUGAUUCAAAAGGGUAUAAAGUAGGUCCAAAUUAAAAAUCAAAUUUUAAAAUAAUUUAAUGUAAAAUUUAACUCUUUUCUUAUCACCAAAUAAAUUUACUUUCAGAGAAAUUACAAGUUUUAAUAAAAUAGUUGAAAUAAGUGACUGUUUAUGACUAGGUGAAAAUUAGAUGAAAAAAACAUAUAAUUAAUAAUUUAUAUAUCUAUUUCUCUCAUACUUGAACUAUGGUCGAGCAAAAAUUAAUAAAAAAAUCAAACGGAUAGAAAUAGCUUAGUUAGAAGUUUGCAUAUCUCAUUUUAUUUACUCUCACUAGACAUUUAAUCUUUUAAGGUAACUUUUAUUUUAUUUACUUAAAAAAUUGCAUAAAUUUAAUUAAAAAAAAAGGAGAGUAAAAGAAACAUGGAAUUAUAUUGUCAAUUUGUUAUAGCUAAGAUAAAGUGAUUGGAGAGAAGUUAAGUUUCCAAUAACAAGAGGAAUUUCACUUGAAACGUAUAAUUAAAUCGGUCAAAAUUUGCAAAUAUUUUCCUACCAAGCCCUUAAUUUAUUUGUUGAGCAUAUUAGUGUCUGUUUCAUUUACCUAUUUUUAAAUAUGCAAAUUUAGUUUAGUCUUAUAGUAAUAUGAGUAAUAUUGGGCUCCAACCACAGUACACGGUAAAAAAUGAAAGCCAGAAAAAUGCAAGACUGCAUGUCUACACCAUAUUAUUUUUAUAAAUAAAAGAGUAAUUUCUCUAUAUAAAUAAAUGAGUUGGGUUGGAUUUCAUUUAAUUGAAAAUGAGUUGGAUUGGCUGAUUAUUUGAUUUUGGGUUAAAUGAAAAUCAACUUCUGCCUGGAUGUAGGUAUUGGGUUUAAUGUAACUUAUAUAAAGAGUUUAGUAUGUCGCUUUAUUUGACUUAUUUGGUUUGGACACUCAAAUUUGAAAUUGAUCAAUUAAACCAAUAGAAAUGAGUCUCAACUAAAUAAAGUGAAAACUCAACUAAAUAGAAUUGGAUUAAAGUGAUUCAAUUAAUCAAGUUUUCACAUACUUAUAACCAUCGUGAUUCAUUCAUAUUAUUAUUCUCAUACUAUAUUCAUGUUAAGUUGAUGUAUUUGGAAAGAUCGAAGCUUUUUUCUAUUUUAGGGUGUCUCUUGGAGCACAGGUGAGAUUAUUAAGAUAUUAUAUAUUUUGGAGUGUGAAAUUUAUUGAAUCAUUUAGAAUAAGAAUCAAAUUGAUAGAAUGUGUAAGUAUUAAGAAAUAAACGUGUUAUUAUUCUAGUUGGAAAAGGCAACAUCAUCACUUCCGUUAACUAUUUAACGGAGAGUGACCAAAAUAGAAACAAUCUAAAGUGUGAGUGACCAAAAUAGAAAUAAUAUAAAAUGUAAGUGACUAAAUAAAAAAAAUUCAUAGUUGGGUGACUAAUUCUAUAGUAAUUUACCCUAGAUGGUAGAAGCAAUUAGGAUUAAUUCCACCAAACAUCUCAAACUAUUACUCAUAUUUUAAAUUGAACCCUAAACUUUUACACAUUCUAAUUAAAUUACUCAAAUAGAAUGUGAUAAUGUAUUAUGCUAUUAUUCAUCGAUAGUGCAUAGAAUUUAUGUACUAACAAUGCAUCAAAUAUUCUCAUUAAAAGAAAAUGUAUAAAAUAAGUUUUAUACCAUCUAUAAUUUGUAAAAAAAAAAUUAUCCAAUAAAAAAUAUAAAAAUACAUCUAUAAUUUCACAAAAAGAAUUACAUAUCUAUAAUAUCUUUUUAUAAAUUCAAUUCCAAAUCUCCUGUAAUAAAUCAACCUCACAAAUCUGAUUGAGGUUAAAAAGAAAGAAUGCAUGUAUUGUGCAAUUAAAACCAUGAUCCAUAUUCAGUUCUAAAGUAUUGAACAUAUAAUUUUGCAUUAUUUUACCUCCCUUGAUUCUUCACAAACUCUUGGGGAAUAAAGACAGUCUUUACAAACCAGUGCACCUCUCAUAAACAGAUCAGGGACAAUUGCCAUGAGAGAGGACCUAAGAAAACAUAAUACAAACUACAUAACAUACAAUCAAGCACCCACACAAAAUGUUUAUUAAACAGCUACAGAAAAAGGCCUGCAUACCACCAAGCAAUGAGGUUUUCUGUUCUGUUUGCAACUUGUUGAACUCGCCCAAGUGUUGCCUUCUCUACCUUUUUGCAAAUCUUUGUCGGACUCGCUCCACGAUCCUAAUCAACCACCAUGGUUUUCCAGUCGUGAAUACAAUGUAUGCCAUGCUCAUUCCCAGCACCAACCCACAUCCAUACCCCAUCAAUAUUGAAAAUUUCCAAUUCAAUUCAUCACCAUCAUCAUCUCUAUCAAAUUUGGCUGGAGUUUCCUCAUCAGUACCACAGUUUUUUGAUAAUGGAAAACCACAUAAAUCCGAAUUUCCCAUGUAGGAAUCUUUAGUAAAAGUAUCAAAUUGUUUGCCUUGAGGAAUGGGUCCCUUGAGAUUAUUUUGAGAAAGGUUUAACACCUCUAAGAAUCCAAGAUUUUUUAACUCUGUUGGAAUUCUUCCUUCCAGCUUAUUUGAUGAGAGAUCUAAUGAUUCAAGCUCUGACAAAUUACCUAAAGAUGAUGGGAUAGGACCUAUUAAACAGUUAUGGGAGAGGUUUAGGACAAGAAGUAAAUGAAGCUCACCAAGUAUUUUUGGAAUUUCUCCCCUAAAUUGGUUACUAGAAAGGUCAAUAACCGUCCAAAUGGAUAAUAGUGAUUCAAACUUUAUUUCCAGCCCUUUUGCUGUAACAGAUAAACCAGAAGCAUAAUCCACCCAAAAUACACCAAAUGCAUCUUUCGUGGGCUUUACUUCUCUCAUGUAAUUUGGUUCAACAUUCUUUCCAUACUCAUCUCUAAUGGCAUGCAUAUGCUCAAAAAAAGGAGUAGGUAAGUAGCCACUAAAAUUAUUGUGAUAAAGAUCAAUGAUUCGCAAUUUAGUUAAAGAAACUGUAAUAUCAAAGCUCUCUAUUUGGCCGUAAAAUCUAUUCGACCUCAAGAUAAGAACUUGCAGCUGAUCCAAAUUUCCUAACCAACUUGGGAAAGUGUCAUUCAAAUUGUUGUUUCCAACAUUGAGAAGAUUUAAACCUUUGCAAUUACCCAAGGAUCGUGGUAGUGACCCUUCUAAUUCAUUGUUGUUGAUGCCUAAACUUCUCAACAUGCAACCUUUAGCAAAAUUUUCUGGUAUUUGACCAUGAAAAUUAUUAUUCCCUAGAUCAACUGCUGUGAGAGAAGAACUCAUGUUUCCGAUGCACUUUGGAAUUGUUCCCUCCAAAUUAUUCUCAUCUAAAGCCAUAACCUUAAGGGAAGUCAAAUUGCAUACUGAAGAAGGGAUUUCUCCAAUUAAGUUAUUAGUUGAAACUGCAUACCAUUGCAAUAAAGGUGGUGGUGUUGGAAUUCGACCUUAGAGAUAAAAUUGAAAAUGAGAUAUUAGGAGUUUGAAGAUUCUUUGGAAUAUAAAUUAUAAAAUAACUAUAUUUAUGAUGUAUUACAUGCUUGAUUAAUUUACUACACUACUUCUAACCAUUUUUACAUGCAUCACAACAACCUUUAAGUUGUAAUCUAUUGAAGGAAACUACUACUAUCUUCCAGAGAAACUUAAAAGUAAAAAGGGAUUGCAUAAAUGUAUAAAAAUAGAAGGAAAAAAAAUAUCAAACUAUACUUAAUAGUUUAUUAUAAAAGAGAUAACCAUUUAAUAUCUAACUUAUAUUUCAUUUUUUUAGUGUUUAUUAUUAUUUUUUGUACUUUUAUGUAUAUUUUAUAAUUUAUUAUUGGGGUUCACGGUUGUUAUUGUCAAGAAUAUCUUGAAUCUAUUAUAGAUGUAGAUUAUAAAUUGUAGACAAAUAUUUUGGUUGGGUUAGCAAAGCUAAAAAAGUUGAGAAUAAUAAAUUUUUAAAAUUUUAAAUUUAAGGUGAAAAAUUAAAUCCUAAUUGUUUAAAUAUCUAUAUGUAAUUAGUGAAUAAGAAUUGCGCAGAAUGGCGUAAAAGAAAAAUAAAAUGAAAGAAUUUAAAAUAUAAUUUUUAAGUUUAUAUCACGUGUCCUAUUAUAAUUGAAACUUAUUAUGGAAUUCACUAUUACUGACUUGAAGCUCGAGUAGGUUCAAGUUAUUGACCCACAACCCAAGUAGACUUAAAGGAAUUUGGGUCGGGCCCCACAAAGUGGGCAUAUUGGAGUUCGCACAUCCAAUUCGUAGGUAUGCUAGAGCUCGUAGGCCUAGCUUACAAGACAAGCCCGCACAUUGAGUUCACACGUCUCUAUAUGAUCGCAAGGAGAGGUGCUAAGUCAAGCACGUGGUCCAUGAACAUGUGUUAAGUCUAGAACAAGAUACGUGUUAACAUACAUGAAGCUUGUCUAAGACGUCAUUUCAGUGAGUGUGGUGCAAUAAGUGUGGUCAAACUUUCGAUUGACCAUAGUAGACACAAAGAGAAAAUACUCAACAAUUUGGUGCAGUGAGUGUGGUCAAACUUUCGAUUGACAGAUUUUUAGCUUGUAACAAUCAAAAUAGCUCACCCAAAUUAAAAUUUCCCCAUCAAUGUUUUGUCAGGAUAAGUUGCUAGUAUUAUAUUGUUGCUAGUAUUAUACAAAACAAAAAGUCAAAAAGUGAGAGAAAACCCAGUCAUCAGCACACCAAAACUCGUUAAGUCAAUCAUAGUUGCUAGUAUUAUAUUGUAUCUUCUUACAUCGAGAGAUAAGGUAGGUGAGAAAGGGAGAUAAAAGACGGUGAGCUUGGAUGGGACAUUAAGGGGGAAGAGAGGAAAAAAUGUUAUGUGUCUAAUUAUUUCUAGUGUUUGAACCGUUUUGAGUCAUAUCUAUCUUGGAACUCAUACCGUCCUAAGCCUUAGAACAUUACAAGCUUAGAAGACCAAUGUGUUUCCUAUGCAAUAAUAUCAACUAUGGCUUAGCAACAACUAAAUCAAGACAUAAACAAUAAGGCAAAUCUAAAAGGUAAAAAGGAAUAGCUAAUUAAAAGUAGUGUGUGAUUCAAAAGGUAGACGGUGAACUUAGGAUGUGGAGUUCCAAUAAAUACCUAAACUUUUGGCAAUUCAAAUAGUUUCUUUAUAAAAGUUUGUAAAUAUUUGAGUCUUAUUCGUAUUAAGAAAUACAUAAUUUUAAGCGGUCUAAUAAUGAAAAUAUUAUAUUAAGCUUUAGUAGAGUUUAAUUAUAUAUAUUAUAAGAAUAGUCUUCCGUGUAUUUAUCCAUUUAAUUUAAUUUUUUUAUUUUGGUCCCUUGGAACGGUUGGAACGGUGCGUUUAGGGGGUAUGUGGAUAAUUUCCUAGUUGGUCCCUGUCCAUUUUCACGCAUUUAAUUUUAGUCCUUUAUUCUGUUUUAUUGUUUAAUUUAUUUAUUUUAUUAUGAUUUAUACUUUUAAUUUCACUUAAAUUUUGAUUCAGUCCCUUAUUUAUUUAAUUUCAGCCUUUCAUGAAUUUUAUUUAUUUAUUACUUCUUUAUUUUCAUAUACUUAAAAAUUGGAUUGUUUACAUUCUUUUAUUUGUGCAUUUUUUUGCUCAUUUAUUUUAUUUACUUAAAAAGAUUGCAUAAAUUUAAUAACAAAAAGGAGAAUAAAAGAAAUGAAAUUAUACCUGUCAAUUUGUUACUCUGAAGAGAAAGCAUUUGAAGAGAAGUCAAGUUUCCAAUUACAAGAGGAAUUUCACCUGAAACAUAUAAUUAAAUCAGUAAAAAUUAUAAAUAUUUUCCUAGCAAAACCUUAAUUUAUUUGUUGAGCAUAUUAGUGUCCAUUUGAUUUAUUUAUUUUUAAAUAUGCAAGUUUUGUUUAAUUUUAUAGUACUUAUGACAACCCAAAAAUAUUUUAAUUACAAUACUCAAAUUGAUAGUUGAAAUGAUGAUGAAAAUUAGAUGGAAUAAAAUAGUUCACGCUUAAUAUUUUUUUUCAAAUAUAGGAUACAUUAGAGGUGAUUAUGGGUCGGGUUCGGGUCGGCUGACUAAGUCAAAAUUUUAGGCCCGUUUUCCCGAGCCCGAAAUAUGGGCCUAAAAAUUUGUCCAAGCCCAGCCCAAAAGAAAAUUGCUAAGCCGAGCCCGACCCUGCCUUGCCCAUAUUAAAUUUUACAACACCAAAAUAGCAUCAAAAACUUGCAAAAAAUAUAUAUAUUUUAUUAAAAAUAAAAAUAUAUAUUUAAUAUAUAAUUCGGGCCAGACUUGGGCCAAAAAAGUUUUACUCGAAGCCCGGCCCAUUUUCUAAAAUUUCCAAUUUCUGUAGGUAUACUUCCCUCCAAGGAGUUGCUCGACAAUGAUAAAAACUUCAAAUCUUUGCACUUGAAUAAACUAUUUGGAAUUCUACCGGAAAUUUGAUUCCAACUCAAGCCCAACCUUUCUAGUUUUGACAAAUUGCCUAGAGUAGAUGGGAUAACACCAAUGAAGUUGUUAAGGUACAGAGACAAUCUUUGAAGUUUACUAAAGCAACCAAACCAUGAUGGGAUUUCUCCAUUGAAGCUAUUGUUACCAAAGUCCAAAUACUUCAUCCGACGCAAAUUGGUUAACUCAAUGGGUAAAGAGCCAUGGAAACUAUUUUGAUGAAUGUCGAGCCAAGCAAGGAAAGAUAGAUUUCCCAAUUGAGAAGAAAUGGUGCCUGUGAGAUCCAUGCUUGAUAAAUUCAGAGCAGUGACUCUAUGGUGUCUAGAUCCACAUGUGACACCAAUCCAGCUACAAACGGAGGUAGAAGUAGACCAAUUGGUUGUCAAGAAAUUGUAAGGAUCAUGAGUUAUAUGAGAUUUGAGUGCUAGAAAAGCAGAUUGAUCAACGGUGAUGCUAGAAUAUUUUGCAGACAAAAUAACCCCAAAGGUUGCGAAUAGCAGCCCAAACAUAAACGGAGGGAGGAAGACGGUGAUAGUCUCCAAGAGAAAGAGACAAGCAAGGAGGGUGAAGGCAAAGUGGCAAACAAUACAUUCAUUACAUAUUUAUUGUUGCAUAUCUCAUUUUAUUUACUGUCACUAGACACUUUUUAUAUAUAUAAAUUAUUAAAUAUUAAAUUUCAUAUAUAAAAAAAAUCCACAUAUUACUUAUUUUAUUAAUACAUAAAAGUAAACCGUUUAGAUGAUUUCAAGUUAAAAAAACAAUAUAUUUUAGAUUUUAUGUGGAUUUUUUUAAGUUCAAUAUUCAAAUUAUUCAGAUUUUCAUCAUCAAAGUUGAAUAGUUUGUAAUUCAAAUUAUUGCUCUCUUUUUACUUGUACCAAUAUUUCCUAUAUUUUUCUUAUGUUAAAAUAGUCAAAGUAUUAAAUAUAUAAUUAAUUGGAGAGAAGUCAAAAGCUAAUUAAUAAUAUAUAGGGAUUGCAUAAAUGUAACAACAAAAAGAAAA